CCCGGUGAUCUAGCCAUGGGCAGGUUGAAGGUUGGGUAACACUAACUGGAGGACCGAACCGACUAAUGUUGAAAAAUUAGCGGAUGACCUGUGGCUGGGGGUGAAAGGCCAAUCAAACCGGGAGAUAGCUGGUUCUCCCCGAAAGCUAUUUAGGUAGCGCCUCGUGAAUUCAUCUCCGGGGGUAGAGCACUGUUUCGGCUAGGGGGCCAUCCCGGCUUACCAACCCGAUGCAAACUGCGAAUACCGGAGAAUGUUAUCACGGGAGACACACGGCGGGUGCUAACGUCCGUCGUGAAGAGGGAAACAACCCAGACCGCCAGCUAAGGUCCCAAAGUCAUGGUUAAGUGGGAAACGAUGUGGGAAGGCCCAGACAGCCAGGAUGUUGGCUUAGAAGCAGCCAUCAUUUAAAGAAAGCGUAAUAGCUCACUGGUCGAGUCGGCCUGCGCGGAAGAUGUAACGGGGCUAAACCAUGCACCGAAGCUGCGGCAGCGACACUGUGUGUUGUUGGGUAGGGGAGCGU
rnacentral:rRNA from 1 species